rnacentral:rRNA from 1 species
UAAGGAAUAUUGGGCAAUGGACGGAAGUCUGACCCAGCCAUCCCGCGUGCAGGAUGACGGCCCUACGGGUUGUAAACUACUUUUAUAUGAGAAGAAACGCCUGAAUUUAUUCGGGCCUGACGGUAUCUUAUGAAUAAGCACCGGCUAACUCCGUGCCAGCAGCCGCGGUAAUACGGAGGGUGCAAGCGUUAUCCGGAAUCACUGGGUUUAAAGGGUGCGUAGGCGGCAUGAUAAGUCAGAGGUGAAAGUUCCCGGCUCAACCGGGAGACUGCCUUUGAUACUGUUGUGCUUGAAUCAGGUUGAGGUUGGCGGAAUGUGACAUGUAGCGGUGAAAUGCUCAGAUAUGUCAUAGAACACCAAUUGCGAAGGCAGCUGACUGGACCUGUAUUGACGCUGAGGCACGAAAGCGUGGGGAGCAAACAG